GGGACUGAUAUGGUUUCUACAUAUUUCUAUUUACUUUAGUAUUAGUAAAUCUAUAAUGCAAUCUGAUCUUUAUGAAUUUAUUUCAUAGUAUUUUAAAAUUUAAGUGCAAAAAAUAAUAUUAUUGUUUUUUCUAGAAAUGAAGUUUUAGUAUAAGUUUUUAGAAUAUUAGAACUAUAUUUUUCUAUAUGUUUUGAUAUCUUAUAAAGGAAUGCUCUUACUGCAAUUUUUAUUCUGUAAAAUGUUCUUUUGUAAGAUAAGUUAUUUCUGAUUUAUUGAUUUUAGCUUCUAUUUGUAUAGCUUGCAUUAUUUUUACAAUGAAAAACUAAAGUUAUUGACAAAUAUGGACGUGGGUUCAAAUCCCACCAGUUCCA
rnacentral:tmRNA from 1 species